CCUACGGGCGGCAGCAGUGAGGAAUAUUGGUCAAUGGCCGCAGGGCUGAACCAGCCAAGCCGCGUGAGGGAUGACGGUCCUAUGGAUCGUAAACCUCUUUUGUCAGGGAGCAAAGGGCGCCACGUGUCCCCUUUUGCGAGUACCUGAAGAAAAAGCAUCGGCUAACUCCGUGCCAGCAGCCGCGGUAAUACGGAGGAUGCGAGCGUUAUCCGGAUUUAUUGGGUUUAAGGGGUGCGCAGGCGGUAUGUCAAGUCAGCGGUAAAAUCCCGGGGCUCAACCCCGCCGUGCCGUUGAAACUGGCGGUCUUGAGUGAGCGAGAAGUAUGCGGAAGGCGUGGUGGAGCGGGGAAAUGAAUAGAU
rnacentral:rRNA from 1 species